rnacentral:rRNA from 1 species
UACGUAGGGCGCAAGCGUUGUCCGGAAUUAUUGGGCGUAAAGAGCUCGUAGGCGGUGUGUCGCGUCGGCCGUGAAAACCUGCAGCUUAACUGUGGGCUUGCGGUCGAUACGGGCAUCACUGGAGUUCGGCAGGGGAGACUGGAAUUCCUGGUGUAGCGGUGAAAUGCGCAGAUAUCAGGAGGAACACCGGUGGCGAAGGCGGGUCUCUGGGCCGAUACUGACGCUGAUGCGCGAAAGCGUGGGUAGCAAACAGG